rnacentral:miRNA from 1 species
UCUGGCAGCCUCUCAUCAAAGG